rnacentral:sRNA from 25 species
GGCUGUCACGCUCGCCCAAGGCACGCGACAGCUGUUCCCCUCUGGAGGUUUUGACCUUCAAACUUGUCAGGCCGCGGAGACAUCCAGCGGCCUUCUUU